AUUGAACGCUGGCGGAAUGCUUUACACAUGCAAGUCGAACGGCAGCACGGACUUCGGUCUGGUGGCGAGUGGCGAACGGGUGAGUAAUGUAUCGGAACGUGCCCAGUCGUGGGGGAUAACGUAGUGAAAAUUACGCUAAUACCGCAUACGAUCUAUGGAUGAAAGCGGGGGAUCGCAAGACCCCGCGCGAUUGGAGCGGCCGAUAUCAGAUUAGGUAGUUGGUGGGCUAAAGGCCCACCAAGCCAACGAUCUGUAGCUGGUCUGAGAGGACGACCAGCCACACUGGAACUGAGACACGGUCCAGACUCCUACGGGAGGCAGCAGUGGGGAAUUUUGGACAAUGGGCGAAAGCCUGAUCCAGCCAUUCCGCGUGCAGGAUGAAGGCCCUCGGGUUGUAAACUGCUUUUGUACAGAACGAAAAGGUUUCUACUAAUACUAGGAGCUCAUGACGGUACUGUAAGAAUAAGCACCGGCUAACUACGUGCCAGCCGCCGCGGUAA
rnacentral:rRNA from 1 species